CUUGAACGCUGGCGGCAUGCCUUACACAUGCAAGUCGAACGGUAACAGGUCUUCGGAUGCUGACGAGUGGCGAACGGGUGAGUAAUACAUCGGAACGUGCCUAGUAGUGGGGGAUAACUACUCGAAAGAGUGGCUAAUACCGCAUGAGAUCUACGGAUGAAAGCAGGGGAUCGCAAGACCUUGUGCUACUAGAGCGGCCGAUGGCAGAUUAGGUAGUUGGUGGGAUAAAAGCUUACCAAGCCGACGAUCUGUAGCUGGUCUGAGAGGACGAUCAGCCACACUGGGACUGAGACACGGCCCAGACUCCUACGGGAGGCAGCAGUGGGGAAUUUUGGACAAUGGGCGCAAGCCUGAUUCAGCAAUGCCGCGUGCAGGAUGAAGGCCUUCGGGUUGUAAACUGCUUUUGUACGGAACGAAAAGCCCUGGGUUAAUACCCUGGGGUCAUGACGGUACCGUAAGAAUAAGCACCGGCUAACUACGUGCCAGCCGCCGCCGUAAGAC
rnacentral:rRNA from 1 species